CUCGCUUUCAGAAGCAUGGUUCCUGGGGUGAGAGGAUUGCUGAUUGGCUGAUUUUCAGAACAAAAUAGUUGACGAUCGUAGGAAGCAAGUGUGGAAGCAGGGCGACCAGUGAGGAGAUGGCUGCAGAGACCCAGCUGGGAGCUGAUGCUGGCCUGGCCUGGAGUGGGGGCAAAUAGAGAAUUUACAGGAAUACAUUCAUAUAUUUCCCGUGUAAUUUAAAACGAUUAAAAAGGUCCCUCAAUGAUGUGCAGAGGAAGGCUGGUGCCGACUGUCUGACUCCAGGUCAGCCCGCACUGCCCUGUGGCCCCGGAGCUGCCCUUCUCCAGAUGAUGAGCUCCAGGGUCAUUCUGAGUCACUACUGCCUUUGUCUCGAUCUCAGGGUUGAGUGGCCUCCCAGUUGUCAUGGUGCUGUUUUUUGACCCAAGGAUGGAGACCUGACUCAAGCCUAUCAAUCAGAGUGCUUCCCUGGGAAGUUGGACCAGGAACUGAUGAUUGGAGCUCUAACAUGGAACCUGUACCAUGGGUGGCCAUGGUGUUCUGCUCUGUGGGUCAGAAAAGCAGAUGGAGCUGAUCUGCAAAGCGAAAGAUAAGAACGAAGCACAUGUGUAGGCUUAGAGCAGAAGAGCUGAAACACGGAGAGUCCUGCUGGGGUUUGAGUUUCUGGUUGCAAUACAUAUUUGCCCCAGUUAAAGUCCCGUCCUUGGGUCCUGUGAGAUAUCCUGGAUCCUUAUCAUAAAUGUCAACUUUUUUCACUCCAUCUAACUCAAAUGUGUUUCUGACUACCAAAAGAGUCUGAAUAAUUUGUACUUCAAAUCUACUUCUAUCACCUCAGGUCUAAGCAGAAAUAGAUUUUCCAUGAAGUUCAUGAAGCUUAAGUUUCAGAGUUUCUCACUCACAAAGGCCCCUUCCAAAGCCCCAUUUUGUAUUUGUACUUUUUUUGUUUUAAGAUUGGCCCUGAGCUAACAUCUGUUGCUAAUCUUCCUCUUUUUUUUUCCUCCCCAAAGCCCCAGUGCAUAGUUGUACAUCCUAGUUGUAAGUGAUUCUAGUUCUUCUAUGUGGGACACUGCCUCAGCCUGGCUUGAUGAGCAGUACUAGGUCUGUGCCAGGGAUCCAAACUGGUGAACCCCUGGGCUGCCAACGUAGAGCAUGCAAACUUAACCACUUGGCCAUGGGGCUGGCCCCAGUACUUUUGUUUUCUUUUUCUUAAAGAGGGUGCCCCAAAUUGUAUAAGUUUCAGACCACAUAAAAUGUGGAUUUGCCCUGUGUAUGCUUUCCUCUCUGUAGUUGCAAAGGUUGGGUGAUUUCAGGAAGGCUCGUCCUCCAUAACACCAAACUCACGGCAACGUUAGGGCCUUUGGCGAGUCUCCUCUACCUGCAAGGUUUCUCCCCCAGACCUUUGCAGAGUUGGCUCCUUCUUAGGGAUCAGGUCUUACCUUCAGUGUCAUUGCCUCCAAGAGGCCUUCCCUGUAUACUCAGUCUAAGGAGUUCUGGGGUCUCUAUCACACCAUCCUCUUUAAUUUUCAUGACAAUUUCUCGUUUAUUCAUUUAUUUCCUUUUUGUCCAUCUCCUCCUGCUCUUUCUAAAAUGAAAGUACUGUAAGAGCAGGAACCCUGUCUUCUUUACUACUGUAUUCCCAAGCAUCUAGAAGAGCGCCUGGCACAUUGUAGGCCUUCAGUAAACAUGUGUUAGGAUUAUAUUUAUUUAUCAGAUAGUAAAGUGCUUGUGUGCUGGG
ensembl:lncRNA